UGCGCAGGUGGGCUUGUAAGUCAGUGGUGAAAUACUGCCGCUUAACGGUAGAACUGCCAUUGAUACUGCAAGUCUUGAAUAUGGUUGAGGUAGGCGGAAUGUGUCGUGUAGCGGUGAAAUGCAUAGAUAUGACACAGAACGCCGAUUGCGAAGGCAGCUUACUAAGCCAUUAUUGACGCUGAGGCACGAAAGCGUGGGGAGCGAACCGGAUUAGAUACCCGAGUAGUCC
rnacentral:rRNA from 1 species